UACAGAGGGUGCAAGCGUUGUUCGGAAUUAUUGGGCGUAAAGCGCGUGUAGGCGGCUUUGCAAGUCGGGUGUGAAAGCCCUCGGCUCAACCGAGGAAGUGCAUUCGAAACCGCAUGGCUCGAGUCCCGGAGAGGAUGGUGGAAUUCUCGGUGUAGAGGUGAAAUUCGUAGAUAUCGAGAGGAACACCAGUGGCGAAAGCGGCCACCUGGACUGCACCUGGACGCUGACACGCGAAAGCUAGGGGAGCGAACGGG
rnacentral:rRNA from 1 species